rnacentral:rRNA from 1 species
AACGAACGCUGGCGGCAUGCCUAACACAUGCAAGUCGAACGAGACCUUCGGGUCUAGUGGCGCACGGGUGCGUAACGCGUGGGAACCUGCCCCUAGGUUCGGAAUAACUCCCCGAAAGGGGUGCUAAUACCGGAUAAUGUCUUCGGACCAAAGAUUUAUCGCCUUUGGAUGGGCCCGCGUUGGAUUAGCUAGUUGGUAGGGUAAAAGCCUACCAAGGCGACGAUCCAUAGCUGGUCUGAGAGGAUGAUCAGCCACACUGGGACUGAGACACGGCCCAGACUCCUACGGGAGGCAGCAGUGGGGAAUAUUGGGCAAUGGGCGAAAGCCUGAUCCAGCAAUGCCGCGUGAGUGAUGAAGGCCUUAGGGUUGUAAAGCUCUUUUACCCGGGAUGAUAAUGACAGUACCGGGAGAAUAAGCUCCGGCUAACUCCGUG